rnacentral:rRNA from 1 species
CCUACGGGGAGCAGCAGUGAGGAAUAUUGGUCAAUGGACGAGAGUCUGAACCAGCCAAGUAGCGUGAAGGAUGACUGCCCUAUGGGUUGUAAACUUCUUUUAUAUGGGAAUAAAAUGUUCCACGUGUGGGAUUUUGUAUGUACCAUAUGAAUAAGGAUCGGCUAACUCCGUGCCAGCAGCCGCGGUAAUACGGAGGAUCCGAGCGUUAUCCGGAUUUAUUGGGUUUAAAGGGCGCGUAGGUGGAUUGUUAAGUCAGUUGUGAAAGUUUGCGGCUCAACCGUAAAAUUGCAGUUGAAACUGGCAGUCUUGAGUACAGUAGAGGUGGGCGGAAUUCGUGGUGUAGCGGUGAAAUGCUUAGAUAUCACGAAGAACUCCGAUGGCGAAGGCAGUUCACUGGACUGCAACUGACACUGAGGCUCGAAAGUGUGGGUAUCAAACAGGAUUAGAUACCCGUGUAGUC